GAUCAGCACUUACCUGCAUUCUGGUAGGGAGGACGAGGAAGAGGGAUUCUGCACACAACUGCUCUUUUGAUCCUGAGUCAGAGGAUUAGCUUCAGACUGGUAUAUUUAUAAGAACAUCUGCGAAGAAGGAGAGUGUUUUCCCUGCCAACUUCCGCUCCUUUGAGGCCACCGGGUCAAGAAAUUGCCAACCAGCCCACCUUGUACGCUGCCAACUCCAUUUGAAACUGCCGACGCUAUCAUUGACCCUCAGAGGAGGAACUCUGGACAAUGACUUGGCAUUCAUUCACAGACUUGAGUCUUUCCCUAGCCUUGUUCCAGUGAUAGUGCCAGGCAGAAAAUUCAACUGAGUGGAAAAAUGAGAACAAGAUGGAGAGGAAUGAAAGACAACAGUCAAACUGCUGCCAUUCAAAGUCCACCUCAGUUUCUGCCUUCUCGCGUGACUCCGGCUCCGUGCAAAGCGAGUGCAGGUGUUUACUGUAAGGAGGAGAAGAAAGGACGAGAACGUCAGCGGCCUCCUCACAGCCUGGAUGGCAGAUGGAGAAGAGCAGGAAUACAGAAACUCCAAGCAGAA